UACGAAGGGGGCUAGCGUUGCUCGGAAUCACUGGGCGUAAAGCGCACGUAGGCGGCUUUUUAAGUCAGGGGUGAAAUCCUGGAGCUCAACUCCAGAACUGCCUUUGAUACUGGGAAGCUCGAGUCCGGGAGAGGUGAGUGGAACUCCGAGUGUAGAGGUGAAAUUCGUAGAUAUUCGGAAGAACACCAGUGGCGAAGGCGGCUCACUGGCCCGGUACUGACGCUGAGGUGCGAAAGCGUGGGGAGCGAACAGG
rnacentral:rRNA from 1 species